UCCAUCACUGUGCUAUUACUUUGACACCUUGUUAAUUACACUUUGGUUUAAAAACUGAUUAUAGUUUGUGGUCUCCAGAGAGCCUGAAAAAAAUACCAAUAUUCCCUUUAAACUACAGAUUGCAUUACUCCAGGACAUUAAAGUCAGAAACUAUGAAUUUCAGCUGGAUUGCAGUUUCAUAUUGAAAACGAGAAAGAGAGAUGUAACAAGAUGCUUGGUAAGACCUGCCUUCGACGUGAUAUUCAUCAAUGUAGCGAAAUCCCCGUUUGGGAUCACGUAUCAGCUUUUUAAAAAUGCUCUGAGCUCUUGUAUAAUUUCUACGUGAAACGUUGCAGAAAUUUCGCCAGAAGAGCCUUCUGCUUCCAGCGACAGUAUCCAGGCGGAGGGAUCUCUGCUUUUUAAUUUAAGAAUACCUGCAGAAAUGCUCAACAUCCACCCGGCACCGUAAGUGACCGGCGCCCGAUAAAAACGCAAGCUCGAUCGUUCCGGGAGAGUCGUCAACAGUCCUCGAAUGACUCAAAAACUAGGGGUCUCCCUCCCACCAGUCCUUGGCAGAGAUAAUGUUCAGAAUCAUAAUUAUGAUGAAGUUGAUGACUGAAGCAGAUACUGAAGUUGCUGCUUGUGGAGUCAGGACAAGAAGAAACCAUGUUUCUCAUUUCAAAGAUAAAAUAGCAGAAGAAGGAAGAGCACCAGCAGCAGCAACAGAAGUGGAGGAGGAAGAAGCAGAAGCAGAAGCCCAAUUAAGCUGAGCAU